rnacentral:misc_RNA from 1 species
AAGAAAACAGCUAUUGAAGGAGGAAUAAAUUCUGUCCGACAUCAUUUUUCAUGUGUAUUCUUCAAUAUUAGCAGUCUCAAAUUUGAAACCUGGGUGAGUUGAUCUUCCUAAUCAAUCUUCAAUAGUGAGGCACAAAUCACACACACUUGCGGCGCUUGCUUAUUGCCGCAGUCUCUCUCUCUCUCUCGCUGCUCGUACAGGUAUGGCCAUGGCUAUUUUAUUGUCCAACUAUUAGCAAACUAUGUAUAAUUUGUGUCUCUUGUAGGCGAUAAAGGAAAUGGAUGGAAUUUUGUUUACCCUUUACCCAGUUCUUGUAGUUUCUAGCUAGACUACUAACGCUUGAUCACUUCUUUUAUCCAGUGAAUGGUUUUAUAAAUUUAAUUGAUUUUGUAAUGAUAAUGGUUCUGUGAUUUGGGAGGCUAUGCAAUUCUUUGUGGGUUAAGCUUGAUACUAUAGCAGUUUUGUUUUGAUGGAUGCUAAGCUAUGAUGUUAUUGGUUACAUAUUAUUUACAGUGACAAAAUGCUAUAGGUUUUGCAAUGUUUUCUCAAGGUAGUGUUAUUUCUCUGAAAUUUUUUAAGCACUUUUACAAUGAUGAGAGGUAUUAUCCUAAUCUUUAUCUCAUUCUUGCACCAUCCUAGUUUUUUUUCUGAUGAAUAAGUAAACUUUUUUGAGGAUUCUAUCUACUGCAUCGAAUUAUUCCAUCUCUAAUCUAAAGGUCAGUCAAGAAAUCCGGCAAUUCAUGUCUAUAUAGUCUUUGGUUAUUGGCAACUCGAUUCCUUCAUGCUGGUGCAAAGACGGUUGUAAAUUCCAUCUGUGAUUCAUUAAGGAGAGGCUACAGCUGGGACAUCCUGAGUAGAAUAUUGAUUUUGCUUAAUGAUUAGCUCAUUGAAUAUGUACUGCUGGAGUUGAAGGAAUCAACUGAUGCAGAAAGGGCUCUGUGCUUCUUCCACUGGUCAGCUCAGAGG